rnacentral:rRNA from 1 species
CAGGUCGAGGGGCAGCAUUUUAGUUUGCUUGCAACUAAAGAUGGCGACCGGCGCACGGGUGAGUAACACGUAUCCAACCUGCCGAUAACUCAGGGAUAGCCUUUCGAAAGAAAGAUUAAUACCUGAUGGCAUAGGAUUAUCGCAUGAUGAUCCUAUUAAAGAAUUUCGGUUAUCGAUGGGGAUGCGUUCCAUUAGGCAGUUGGUGAGGUAACGGCUCACCAAACCUUCGAUGGAUAGGGGUUCUGAGAGGAAGGUCCCCCACAUUGGAACUGAGACACGGUCCAAACUCCUACGGGAGGCAGCAGUGAGGAAUAUUGGUCAAUGGACGGGAGUCUGAACCAGCCAAGUAGCGUGAAGGAUGACUGCCCUAUGGGUUGUAAACUUCUUUUAUACGGGAAUAAAGUGGUCCACGUGUGGAUUUUUGUAUGUACCGUAUGAAUAAGGAUCGGCUAACUCCGUGCCAGCAGCCGCGGUAAUACGGAGGAUCCGAGCGUUAUCCGGAUUUAUUGGGUUUAAAGGGAGCGUAGGUGGAUUGUUAAGUCAGUUGUGAAAGUUUGCGGCUCAACCGUAAAAUUG